UGGGGAAUAUUGCACAAUGGGGGAAACCCUGAUGCAGCAACGCCGCGUGAAGGAAGACGGUUUUCGGAUUGUAAACUUCUAUCGACAGGGAAGAAGAAAGUGACAGUACCUGAAUAAGAAGCCCCGGCUAACUACGUGCCAGCAGCCGCGGUAAUACGUAGGGGGCAAGCGUUAUCCGGAAUUACUGGGUGUAAAGGGUGAGUAGGCGGCAUGGUAAGCCAGAUGUGAAAGCCCGCAGCUUAACUGCGGGAUUGCAUUUGGAACUACUAAGCUAGAGUACAGGAGAGGAAAGCGGAAUUCCUAGUGUAGCGGUGAAAUGCGUAGAUAUUAGGAAGAACACCGGUGGCGAAGGCGGCUUUCUGGACUGAAACUGACGCUGAGGCACGAAAGCGUGGGGAGCGAACAGG
rnacentral:rRNA from 1 species